UAGAUGACCUUUUAGAUGGUUUGAUAGUA
rnacentral:piRNA from 1 species